GACGAACGCUGGCGGCGUGCUUAACACAUGCAAGUCGAACGGAAAGGCCCUGCUUUUGUGGGGUGCUCGAGUGGCGAACGGGUGAGUAACACGUGAGUAACCUGCCCUUGACUUUGGGAUAACUUCAGGAAACUGGGGCUAAUAUCGGAUAGGAGCUCCUGCUGCAUGGUGGGGGUUGGAAAGUUUCGGCUGUUGUGGAUGGACUGGCGGCUUAUCAGCUUCUUUGUGGGGUAGGGGCUUUCCAAGGCUUUGAAGGGUAGCCGGCCUGAGAGGGUGAGCGGCCACAUUGGGCCUGAGAUACGGCCCAGAAUGCUACGUGAGGCAGCAGGGGGGAGUAUUGCACAAUGGGCCCACGCCUGAUGCGACAACGCCGGGUGCGGGAUGACGGCCUUCGGGUUGUAAACCGCUUUCGCCUGGGACGAAGCGUGCUUGACGGUAAUGGGUAAAGAAGCACCGGCUAACUACGUG
rnacentral:rRNA from 1 species